rnacentral:rRNA from 1 species
GCGACGCCGUGUGGGGGAAGAAGGCUUUCGGGUUGUAAACCCCUGUUGAGAGGGAAGAAUGGUCUACUGGCGAACAGUUAGUAGGCUUGACGGUACCUUUCGAGGAAGCCCCGGCUAACUACGUGCCAGCAGCCGCGGUAACACGUAGGGGGCGAGCGUUGCGCGGAAUUACUGGGCGUAAAGGGUGCGUAGGCGGCUUAGUAAGUCGGAGGUGAAAGCCCACGGCUCAACCGUGGAGGUGCUUUCGAAACUGCUAGGCUUGAGGCCAGGAGAGGCUGGCGGAAUUCCCGGUGUAGCGGUGAAAUGCGUAGAUACCGGGAGGAACACCGGCGGCGAAGGCGGCCAGCUGGCCUGGUACUGACGCUGAGGCACGAAAGCGUGGGGAGCGAACCGGAUUAGAUACCCGGGUAGUCCACGCUGUAAACGAUGGGUGCUGGGUGUCAGGGGCGAUAGUUCUUGGUGCCGAAGCUAACGCGAUAAGCACCCCGCCUGGGGAGUACGGA